GACGAACCGAGCGAACGUUGUUCGGAAUCACUGGGCUUAAAGAGCGUGUAGGCGGCCCGGUAAGUCCGCUGUGAAAGUCCAGGGCUCAACCCUGGAAUGCCGGUGGAAACUGUCGGGCUAGAGUCCGGAAGAGGCGAGUGGAAUUCCUGGUGUAGCGGUGAAAUGCGCAGAUAUCAGGAGGAACACCAAUGGCGAAGGCAGCUCGCUGGGACGGUACUGACGCUGAGACGCGAAAGCGUGGGGAGCAAACAGG
rnacentral:rRNA from 1 species